rnacentral:rRNA from 1 species
GAUGAACGCUGGCGGCGUGCCUAAUACAUGCAAGUCGAGCGAACAGACGAGGAGCUUGCUCCUCUGACGUUAGCGGCGGACGGGUGAGUAAUACGAGGAUAACCUACCUAUAAGACCGGGAUAACUUCGGGAAACCGGCGCUAAUACCGGCAAAAAUAUUGACCCGCAGGGUCCCAUAGUGAAAGACGGUCUUGCUGUCACGUAUAGAUGGAUCCGCGCCGCAUUAGCUAGUUGGGAAGGUAACGGCUUACCAAGGCAACGAUGCGUAGCCGACCUGAGAGGGUGAUCGGCCACACUGGAACUGAGACACGGUCCAGACUCCUACGGGAGGCAGCAGUAGGGAAUCUUCCGCAAUGGGCGAAAGCUUGACGGAGCAACGCCGCGUGAGUGAUGAAGGUCUUCGGAUCGUAAAACUCUGUUAUUAGGGAAGAACAAAUGUGUAAGUAACUAUGCACGUCUUGACGGUACCUAAUCAGAAAGCCACGGCUAACUACGUG